rnacentral:rRNA from 1 species
AUGCAAUCUUAUGAAGAAAAACUUGAGUUAGAAGUUUCUAUCCCUAUAAACCUUUAUGAUGAGUGGGAACCUACUAUUAAAAUUAAAAUUAAAGAUCAUGAAUGCUAUUCUUUGUGUGAUUUGGGUGCUAGUGUUUCAACGAUUCCAAAAACUUUGUGUGAUUUGCUAGGUUUCCAUGAUUUUGAUGAUUGCUCUUUAAACUUGCACCUUGCGGAUUCAACUAUUAAGAAACCUAUGGUAAGAAUUAAUGAUGUUCUUAUUGUUGCAAAUAGGAAUUAUUUUCCCGUAGAUUUUAUUGUUCUUGAUAUAGAUUGCAAUCCUUCAUGUCCUAUUAUUUUUGGUAGACCUUUCCUUAGAACAAUUGGUGCAAUUAUUGAUAUGAAGGAAUGGAAUAUUAGAUUCCAAUUUCCAUUAAGGAAAGGCAUGGAACACUUCCCUAGAAAUAAAAUUAAAUUAACAUAUGAAUCUAUUAUGAGAGCCACUUAUGGAUUGCCUACCAAAGAUGGCAAUACCUAG